GGUUACUGUAUUGGACAGCAGAGUGCUAGACUGUGCACUUCAUGAAGACGGAAACCAUGUAUGUUUGACUGCUUACAUUGAAUCUACUAUAUGUCAGAUACAUAAUAACAAUUUUAAAGGACUGAAUAGGUUUAAAAGCUAUGUGCAGGGGUGAGUAUUUGGCUCAACAGUAGGGAUUCUCAGUCUGUAUCCGAGUGCCUCCGUUCAGGUUCCUGCUCCACUUCUGCUCCAUUUGCCUGCUAGUGUGCAUCCUGUGAAGCAGCAGGUGAGGGAUCCAGUAGCUGCCAUCCACAUGGGAAACCAGAAGGAGCUCUGAGUUCUUAGCUCCAGCUUGGCCCAGCUCAGGCUAUUUCAAUCAUGUGGGGAGUCAACUAGUGGAAGGGAAAUCUCUCUGUUUCAGUUUCUUUGUUACUGUGCCUUUCAAAUAAAAUAAAUAAAUAAAAUCUUAAAAAUACGUGAACAUAAUUCAUGUAGAAAUCUCAUCAUCAAGAAUGCCAGGAUUGAAAGUUGAUCUGAAACAUCAGCUCUGGACAAUUUGCUGAGAUUCCUCAGGCUUUAAGAGUCACCAUCAUCACCAGGAUAGUCCAGGAUAAUGAUAAAGGCGAUGCUAUUUGCAUACUUCAGUCGAGGAAUGAAAAUUUAACAAAAUACACCAAUUUUGUAAAAAAAAUUUUAUCUAUGACUCCUUGGUCAGUCAGAGGACAAAAUCUAAUUCUUUUUCAUCUUUCUUAGGAGCGGAAGUUGAAUUUCUACUUCACACAAAGAAACCAAAUGAAUUCAGUGAUCUUCUCCCUUCGCAAAUGGAGAAAGAAGAGGAAAUGAAAUUUGAAAGUCAGCAGUACAAACUAAAUCUAGGAAGUUUGAAAUGCCAAAAGAAAACAAUAUCAAGUAAAAUUUUGAACAAUUUUUUCCCCAGCCUUGGAUGUAUGGAUGAAAGAACUGUUCCUAAAUACCUCCUCCUAAUUAUUUUGUGGGCCAUGGUGGGAUUGAAACCAAGGCCUAUAGCAUAUUUCCAGGAACGCCAUGUAUAGCAUAUUUCCAGGAACGCCAUGUUUCCGAAGGAAACAUCAAGGAAAUCAAGCAUUCCUCUAAAGAAAUGUUAUCACCAGGCUUAUUUGUUUGUGUAUGUAUCUAGUUGUUGCCGUCUGCUUUAUCACUUAUAUAAGGUAACAUUCUUUUAAAUUGGGCAGAUGGACUUCAUUCAAGUUCUGACAGUAACUCUUUGUUAUUGGCACAAAUGGCUUCAGAGGUAUUUAAUUACCAUUAGUAGUCAUCCGUUUGCUCCUAGCUGGUGACAUUUGGAAUAGUAAGCAGGCCGAAUUCUUUGUGUCCAGUGAGUUCAUAGAAAGUUAAGCCUACUUUUGACAACAGACUCAAGCUUAGCUACCAUUAACCCCUCUUCAGUUACUGGACGAUGUGUUUGAACAGUAUGAAUGAUUAAUGAAGGCUAAAUAUUUCAGUUUCUAACUCAAAACCUUUUUGUUAUCUGCCAGAGUGCUGAGUGACUGGCAAGAGGAGUUAGACUCAAGUAAGUCUGCUUGUGCACUAAAAGAAAAUUAAUUUAUCAACUAUUUCUUUUCAAACAAUAUAAUAAAUCAGAAACUCUCAUCCUAAUGCCUUUUCCC
ensembl:lncRNA